CAGCAAUUGACGUUACCCGCAGAAGAAGCACCGGCUAACUCCGUGCCAGCAGCCGCGGUAAUACGGAGGGUGCAAGCGUUAAUCGGAAUUACUGGGCGUAAAGCGCACGCAGGCGGUCUGUCAAGUCGGAUGUGAAAUCCCCGGGCUCAACCUGGGAACUGCAUUCGAAACUGGCAGGCUUGAGUCUUGUAGAGGGGGGUAGAAUUCCAGGUGUAGCGGUGAAAUGCGUAGAGAUCUGGAGGAAUACCGGUGGCGAAGGCGGCCCCCUGGACAAAGACUGACGCUCAGGUGCGAAAGCGUGGGGAGCAAACAGG
rnacentral:rRNA from 1 species